rnacentral:rRNA from 1 species
CACGGGGGGAGCAAGCGUUGUUCGGAAUCACUGGGCGUAAAGGGCGUGUAGGCGGUCAAGUAAGUGGGGUGUGAAAGCCCCCGGCUCACCCGGGGAUCUGCAUUCCAAACUGCUUGGCUUGAGUACGGGAGAGGAUGAGGGAAUUCCUGGUGUAGCGGUGAAAUGCGUAGAUAUCAGGAGGAACACCGGUGGCGAAGGCGCUCAUCUGGCCCGAUACUGACGCUGAGGCGCGAAAGCUAGGGGAGCAAACGGG